rnacentral:rRNA from 1 species
UAAUACGGAGGGUGCAAGCGUUGUUCGGAAUUACUGGGCGUAAAGCGCGCGUAGGUGGUCUGUUAUGUCAGAUGUGAAAGUCCACGGCUCAACCGUGGAGGUGCAUUUGAAACUGGCAGACUUGAGUACUGGAGGGGGUAGUGGAAUUCCCGGUGUAGAGGUGAAAUUCGUAGAGAUCGGGAGGAACACCGGUGGCGAAGGCGACACUCUGGACGAAUACUGACGCUGAGGCGCGAAAGCGUGGGGAGCAAACAGGAUUAGAUACCCUGGUAGUCCACGCCGUAAACGAUGUGAACUAGGGAUAGGGUGUGUUGAUCCCUCCUGUCCCGCAGCUAACGCACUAAGUUCACCGCCUGGGGAGUACGGUCGCAAGAUUA